rnacentral:lncRNA from 10 species
CUAGCCUCCAGGCUUUCUCCCGGGUUCCUAAGUCUGUAUGUGCUCACUGGAAAUGCCCCAUGACUUGGGGUGACAUGGGUCUGAAAGGAGCAUGCAAGCAGCCCCCCCACAUUGCAGUUUUGCUUUCUGUGGUUUCAGUUACCUGCGGUCAACCACCAUCUAAAAAUAGAAAAAAUUCAAACUUAGAUGAUUUCCGAAGAUCUUAAUAAUCAGGACAACCGUGAACUUCUCAUGCAACCGUCAAUGCCUGAGACAAUGGAGUGAAAGCUACCAGAUCCUUAAGAGAAAAGUGUCCCCCAGGACUCUUAAAGCCACCAGCCCUGAUGUUGGCCACGGGAAAAGACAAUCAAGGAAAAUCUCCGACCUUCGGUGAAAUGCAGAGACUAAGGGACCCCUGUGCUGCGUGUGAUGCGAUUUUGAGAGAAAAAAAAAAAAAAAGGCCAGGUGUGGUGGCUCACGCCUGUAAUCCCAGCACUUUGGGAGGCCCAGACAGGAGGAUCCCUUGAGCUCAGGAGUUAGAGACCAUUCUGGGCAACAUGGCAAAACCCUGUCUCUACAAAACAAAACAAAACAAUACAAAACAAAACAAACAGAAAAAUAGCCAGGUGUGGUGGCACGUGCCUGUGGUCCCAGCUACCCUGGAGGCCUAGGCGGGGAGAUCGCUUGAGCCUGGGAGGUCGAGGCUUCAGCGAACCAAGAUCACGCCACUGCACUCCAGCCUGGGCCACAGAGCAAGAUUGUCUUAAAAAUAAAACAAAACAAAAACUAACGGAGCCCUGAAA